GCCAGUGUGGUGUAGUGGUUUGUGUGUUGGACUUUGACUCUCGAGACCAGCGUUCAAUUCCCUGCUUGGCCA